AGAAACAGCCGCAACAAUCGUUACACCUAUGCAACCCAUAUCGGCGUCUUAUAUUCCAGGAUUAACUAAAUCACGCAAGGUAAAUGUGAACAAACAUCAACCAUCAACGCCAACUAUUUUAACGCCGGAGAUUGCGGCUCCAACGUCCUAUUCGAAAUAUGUGCCUACAGGUCCUUCAACAAUUGUUUCAUCUUCUUUGCCUGGAUUAACAAUUACACCUGUUAACAUAUUAAAUGUGAUUCAAGCGGAAAUAUCUGCAUCGAGUAGUACAUGCCAUGGAUUAAUCUCAGCAUUUUCACCAAGUAAAUCAAAUUUAUCAGGUGGUUUCGGGAGCUCGAUAUCAGUGUCUGAGAUUCCAAAAAUGUACUUGAAUGCAUUUUCAACUAUUAGCCCGAAUAAUGUAUCCAUAGAUGGUAAAAAAAAGUCAUCACAAUAAACGAGUCAGAAUUAAAUGAAAAAUGGAAUGAAUGAAUGUUUAAUGGUACAACGUACGGAGAUUAUAAUUUUAGAGAAAUUGUUUGAACGUAGAAUAAGAAAUUGAGCUUCCGCUUGAGAAGAUCGUACAUUUCCUUGCGAUUGCAGAGAGGAAAAGCCAGAGAGGCUGGAAGAAAAGGUUUGACAGAAAAAAAGAGCGCUUACGGAGUCACUCAUAGAGCAUCACGCAUCGGAUUCAAAGUCUUAUAUUCCAGGAUUAACUAAAUCACGCAAGGUAAAUGUGAACAAACAUCAACCAUCAACGCCAACUAUUUUAACGCCGGAGAUUGCGGCUCCAACGUCCUAUUCGAAAUAUGUGCCUACAGGUCCUUCAACAAUUGUUUCAUCUUCUUUGCCUGGAUUAACAAUUACACCUGUUAACGUAUUAAAUGUGAUUCAAGCGGAAAUAUCUGCAUCGAGUAGUACAUGCCAUGGAUUAACCUCAGCAUUUUCACCAAGUAAAUCAAAUUUAUCAGGUGGUUUCGGGAGCUCGAUAUCAGUGUCUGAGAUUCCAAAAAUGUACUUGAAUGCAUUUUCAACUAUUAGCCCGAAUAAUGUAUCCA